CAUCGACCAUCUCCAACUAGUUUUGUCCUGCUUUGAGCUUAUUAGGUGAUUGACUUUAAAUCACGACCAGUUUGUGCAGGAAUGGCCUAAUCUCCUCAUCUGUGUUUGAUCCUCAAUUAGUAAUAAAGACUCAAACUCUACCCAAAUUGUUCUGUCUAACUCCAAAAUAAUUCCUCCAACCUGAGUCAUCCAUGCCCUUCACUAAAGCACAUUCACCUGCUCCAGUGAAAUGGCCCAGCGGAAGCCACGCAACUGUCAUGAUACAUCCCAACAAAAGGGUCGUGAC